rnacentral:lncRNA from 1 species
CAGCUUUGUUUUUAUUUUUUUAAAUUUUUUAUUUAGGAUAGUCACACAGAGAGAGAGAGAGAGGCAGACACACAGGCAGAAGGAGAAGCAGGCUCCAUGCACCGGGAGCCCGGCAAGGGAUUCGAUCCCGGGUCUCCAGGAUCGCGCCCUGGGCCAAAGGCAGGCGCCAAACCGCUGCGCCACCCAGGGAUCCCUGAGCUUUGUUUUUAAAAUGCAUAUGAUGACUACAAGAAAACAUCAAAAAAGGAGUGUCUCAGUGGUUAUGUGGCUCCCACAUUCCUUGUCCUUGUGCUCCCACUUUAGAAAGAUGUAG